rnacentral:lncRNA from 1 species
AGGAAGGCUGGGCCAUGACCCUUUAACUAUGGGCGAGGACCAUCACGGGGGCGACGUCACAUAAACCCGAGACUCCCGACCAUGGGGACAGAGGCGCGGCCGAACCUAGACACCCCGGCGUCUCGGAAUGUGAAGAGUCGGUGACGCGGCGAAUGAUCAAGACGCCGCCAGCCCGGGAGGGGCUCUUAGUCUGCGCGCGCCCGGUGGUGGCGCGGCCCAACGCCUUCUCAUCACAGCAGUCCCUUUAACCCAAACUUUCUCCCUCUACUCGGACCCCAGCACGCACACAUUGGCUGAACCACAUCCGCCCAGGACCGCCUCCUUCCACUGCCUAUUGGCUACAUCAAGCAUCAAUCCCCAUAUAAGACUUCCGAUUGGCCCGUGUUCUUGUCAAUCAGGUGGGUCAUAGGGUGGGCGGAGCCCAGAGCGCCGCGCCAGCCUCACCGCCUAGCCUCCCUCCUGUCUGCCAGACUGCGGACUCCGACAGGUCCCAGGGCCAAGGCCAGAGCGGCACACAGGGGCGGGACUGCGCGCGGCUCCGGGGACUCACCGAUCCGUUGUCCCACCGGAGAGCUGAACGGAUUUCCCAGGAGAAAGUCCAUUGCCGCGGCUACCGCUGCCACCAGCUCCCAGAAUCACCACACCAGGGCGGGGCCUGGGAGGGCCGGCUUCUAAGCCACGCCCCUGAAGCUUCAGUGCGCGCCACUGUGGAGCCUGGAAGUCUUGACAUCCUGAAACUGGGUCUCUGGCCAGGGAAAGACCUGGGUCAGGUUACGCAUACUCAGACAGGCGGUGUCCAAUGAGGCUGAGGGACUCUCCCAGCAACUGGAGAUGAGCAGCGACAUCAAUGGGCUCUGUUUCAGGAGCUUUGGCUGGUCAAGAUGUAGGACCCUUGGCUCCUCCAACACUAUGUCUGCCAGCUGCCAUGCUUUCUGAUAUGUUAAUAAUGGAAUAAACCUCUGAAACUGUAAGCCA